rnacentral:rRNA from 1 species
AGAGUUCGAUUCUGGCUCAGGACGAACGCUGGCGGCGUGCCUAACACAUGCAAGUCGAGCGAGAAUCGUAUGACGGAGUUUCGGACAACUGAAUACGAGGACAGUGGCGGACGGGUGAGUAACGCGUGAGCAACCUGCCCUGGAGAGGGGGACAACAGCUGGAAACGGCUGCUAAUACCGCAUGAUGUACAGAGGAGACAUCUCUUCUGUACCAAAGAUUUAUCGCUCUGGGAUGGGCUCGCGUCCGAUUAGAUAGUUGGUAGGGUAACGGCCUACCAAGUCUGCGAUCGGUAGCCGGACUGAGAGGUUGAACGGCCACAUUGGGACUGAGAUACGGCCCAGACUCCUACGGGAGGCAGCAGUGGGGAAUAUUGGGCAAUGGGGGGCCAACCCUGACCCAGCAACGCCGCGUGAAGGAAGAAGGCUUUCGGGUUGUAAACUUCUUUUAUAAGGGACGAUAAUGACGGUACCUUAUGAAUAAGCUACGGCUAACUACGUGCCAGCAGCUGC